UUCCCUGGUUACACCAAAUUCUUGCACCCUGAACAUGCCUGAUCUCAGAAGCUAAGCAAGGUCAGGCCUGGUUAAUAUUUGGAUGGGAAACCUCUUGGGAAUUUUGGGUGCUGUGUGGU
rnacentral:rRNA from 1 species